rfam:Brachypodium distachyon strain Bd21 chromosome 1, whole genome shotgun sequence.
UUCAUACUCCUCCGUCCAAUAAAAAAUGUCUCAACUUUGACUAAAUUUAAAUGCAUUUAUACACUAAGUUUUGUCUAAAUACAUUCAAAUUUUGACAAAUUUGAGACAUCUUUUGUUGGACGUAGGAAGUACUGU